AAUGCAUUGGUUUGUGUUGGCUGGUAUUGAUUGUGUGCAUGUUGUAUUGCUGCAAUAUACAUAUUAACUGAUGUAUUAAUUAUAAAGAUUAAUUCAAGUAUAUUGAUUGAUUAAAUUGUUUCGUAAAGAGUCAUCAAAAAUUGUAAUUCCAUAUAACAGAAAACAAUUUGAUGCUUUUCAAAUGUUUGAUGAUGAUUGGCAGAUUGCUAUAGGAAAUUAUUGUGAUCAGAUCUUGCAUCAUUUACCCUCACAUGCUUUGUUAAUUCAAAAAUUAAAAAGGAGAAUUUAAGUAUAGUUUUCCCCCAUCAGAUUUUACAACAUGCUCUUUCUGUAAUAAAUUAAAUGCUGAUUCAUCUGGAACAGUAAGAUGUAAAAUCGUUGAUAAAGUGGAAAGAUCUCCUCUCCAGAUAACAAAAAGAUCCCGACCCAGAAUUUACUGCGGGUCGAGGAAGUGUUUAUAUUUUUUCCACAGGGCGCAGAUUCGUCAGUUUGGAUACAGGACAGACUGAUUCGCCACAAAAGAAAAAGGGAAGUCCUCUGCCUCCGCCGAGGAGGGAAACAGCCCCGCACGGAAAGCCGCGGGCGGGGCCAGCCUGACUGACUGACGGGACCCAGUGCUCUGCCAGCGUCCGUCUGCGAAAUUAUGGGAUAGAGACUUGAUGGGGAAAGGAGAUGUAUGGGAACUGUAUACUAUUUGCUCAAAUUUUUGUGUAGCUUGGCCGCUGCGCGCGAUGGUAGAAGAGGCAAAAUAAACAUCAAGAUCCGGGCGGGACUGACAGCUGCUGCAGCGCAAACUCCAACCAGAAAAUGACUCUAUUUACUCUAUUUUGGCUUGUCUAUCCUUUCCUUAUGUUUUUCUUUUCACCAGUGAUUCCGAAAAAAGUUAGCGUGCAAAUGGACCUAAUGUAAUGACUUGUGAACAAUGACUCUUCGGCAGAGCAUUCAGAACCUCACGACUGAACUGCACCUAGUUUUUUUAAAAAAAAUAAUAAAGAAGGGGGAGAUGCCGGAAGCCAGUGUGAGGAAUCCCGCCCGUGACAAGGUCAUGAGGAAGGAAGCUGGCGUACGCAAGGCAUGCUCAGACUUCAGGGGACCCUCUGGAAAUUCCUAAGCAUGUACCCCAACAAAAAUCUGCCGGUUUUUGUGCUCUGCUUUUCCACUCUUCUGACAUUCUCUGGGAAAAGUCAAUUCAGGGCUUUAGUCUGCAUUUGAAAGUGUUUCAAUCCAAAAACCCCUCUGAUGGCUUUUUAGCCUGCGUACAGGACUCUGUACAGCUGCGCGUGUGAUUGUUUGAGGCCUCCUGACCGCAGGAGGCACAGGAAGCUUAAAACAUCCUAGGAAUGUAGGGGCUUCCGAGGAGUCAAAGUCAUUAGAAUAGGACUGAUUAAAAGUUUCAUUUGUUGAGUCGAUACUUGCUGCCAAAUUUUCAUAUCCUUUAUUAGUAGAUAUAGUUGGUAUAUAGAAAAACAAGUAGUAGACCUGGUAUUAGCAACAUUAGAUCUUUGAGUUAAGUACCUUCUUUGUUAUAACCCACUGGGCCUUUGUUCUAUAGAGAUGUAACUUUAGCGCUUUAAGGAAAUGCAGAUUAAAGAAAAACAGUUAGGGGAAAUGAAAUUAACAUUCAUUAAGGAAGAGAGCCAAAAAGUGUUAACAAGCCUCUUGGCCAGAAGAUAAUGUAAAUCACCUGAGACCUUUUGUAUACAAAAUGAUCUACAGAAAGAGUCUGGGCUGCGAACGCUACAUAAUUUUGUGUUACCCAUUGAUCUCCAUGUUUUAUCAAAAGUAUAAAAGGCCUUCUGAACAAUAAAGGAUUGGACCAGUUUCUCG
ensembl:lncRNA